rnacentral:tRNA from 1 species
GAUCCCAUCGUCUAAUGGUUAGGACAACAGGUUCUCAUCCUGUAAAUAUGGGUUCGACUCCCGUUGGGAUUGCCA